AUGUUAGAGAUUUGGUACAAAGAACCAAACUCCUAAAACAUACCACACACUAAAAGAAAAUGGGAGGGACCUAUCUCAGUCAUAAUUGUAUUGAUUCAUCUGACACAAGGUCAUUGAUGAAUCAAUUAGCAUUUAGACAUUAGAGAUUUCAUUGGUCAAAUGAGGGAAUGGAAAAAAAUAGGAAUGAAGAUGAAGAGGGAUGA
rnacentral:lncRNA from 1 species